GACGAACGCUGGCGGCGUGCUUAACACAUGCAAGUCGAACGGUAAGGCCCUUCGGGGUACACGAGUGGCGAACGGGUGAGUAACACGUGGGUGAUCUGCCCUGCACUUCGGGAUAAGCCUGGGAAACUGGGUCUAAUACCGGAUAGGACCCUGGGAUGCAUGUCCUGGGGUGGAAAGCUUUUGCGGUGUGGGAUGGGCCCGCGGCCUAUCAGCUUGUUGGUGGGGUGAUGGCCCACCAAGGCGACGACGGGUAGCCGGCCUGAGAGGGUGACCGGCCACACUGGGACGGAGAUACGGCCCAGACUCCUACGGGAGGCAGCAGUGGGGAAUAUUGCACAAUGGGCGCAAGCCUGAUGCAGCGACGCCGCGUGAGGGAUGACGGCCUUCGGGUUGUAAACCUCUUUCAGCACCGACGAAGCGCAAGUGACGGUAGGUGCAGAAGAAGGACCGGCCAACUACGUGCCAGCAGCCGCCGUAA
rnacentral:rRNA from 1 species